rnacentral:rRNA from 1 species
UACAGAGGUCUCAAGCGUUGUUCGGAUUCAUUGGGCGUAAAGGGUGUGUAGGUGGCGCCGUAAGUCGGGUGUGAAAUUUCGGAGCUUAACCUCCGAAACUGCAUUCGAUACUGCGGUGCUUGAGGACUGGGAGAGGAGACUGGAAUUCAUGGUGUAGCAGUGAAAUGCGUAGAGAUCAUGAGGAAGACCAGUGGCGAAGGCGGGGUCUCUGGACAGUUCCUGACACUGAGACACGAAGGCCAGGGGAGCAAACGGG